rnacentral:tRNA from 1 species
GAGGGUGUAACUUAGUGGCAGAGAACCUGCUUAGUAUGCAUGAGACCCUGGGUUCAAUGCUCAGCACCAAAA